GGCCCGUUCGUCCAGAGGCCUAGGACGCAGGCCUCUCACGCCUGAAACACGGGUUCGAAUCCCGUACGGGCCA
rnacentral:tRNA from 1 species